rnacentral:lncRNA from 1 species
AUGCGAAAAAAUUAAAGAUUUUAGUUUUAAGCGACACUUUGUGUAGAAAUUUAAAGAUUUACCAAAAACAAUGACAUAAACAACAAAAAGUGAAAAAGUGAUCAGCGAAAAAAUGAUGAUAUUUCUGAUUGAAGCAACACAUUGUGUAGAUAUUCACAAAUCUGCCAAAAUAAUGCCAAAAAAACACACUGACAAGAAACAUCCACAUUAACAAGCAUACAAAUAAUUAUAUGGAGGACGCUAGAAUUUAAGAUGCAUACUAGGGAAGAAGCCGAGAUCUGGAGCCGUCGUUUGAAACCCGGACGGCGGCGGCUGGAUACGGGCUAUGCAGAAGGAGACGGCGGAGCAUUCGUUGUCGGCGAGGAAGGAGGCGACGCCGCGUGGAGCGACGCAGUGCCUAGAUGAGAGGGCGGAGUGGGUGGAUUGGGGAUGUAGGGCUUUACCACCGUUCUGUCGCGAAAUCAGAUAGGUCGAGGGAGAUGGGAUUAAGAAAUAGAGGGUGAGGCAGAGGGAGAGAGAUGAAGAUGGAGAGCAUCGGCAGCCGUGGCUUGUGGAGAAGACUUGAAUUGUAGAAAAUGUUUGGAGCGUUGAAUCUGGAAAGUGAGAACGGCGGAUUGUAAUGAGAUUAGGGUAGAAUUUUGGGAGAAGUGGAGAACACUCUAGAAUUCAAAGGCAGCGGCUGAAACC